rnacentral:rRNA from 1 species
ACGGCGAGCGAAGAGGGAAGAGUCCAGCGCCGAACUCCACCGAAUGUAGGCGGUCGGAGUCUGUGGCGUUAGGGAGGGAGCGUGCCGGUGGACGGACGUCGGAGCAAGUCCUCCUGAACGGGGCUGUUUCCCAGAGCGGGUGCCAGGCCCAUAGGUCCGACGACCCCGCCGGAUAGCGAUCCUCUCCAGAGUCGGGUUACUUGGAAGUGUAACUCUAAGAAGGUGGUAAACUCCACCCAAGGCUAAAUACUGCCGUGAGACCGAUAGCGAACAAGUACCGUGAGGGAAAGUUGCAAAGAACUUUGAAGAGAGAGUUCAAGAGUACGUGAAACUGCUGAGAGGCAAACUGGUGGGCCCUCGAAAUCCCGUUUGCGGGGAGAUUCAGUCGGGUGUCGGCGGCCGUCUCUAAAAUGGGUCUGUCGCAACCGAAGAUCGGGGCRCAUUCCGAGGGACGAGUUCCGCUGGAACCCGACGCAUUUCCCGCCCGCACGAAAGGAACGCCGCAGCCGGUCGGGUAGCUGCGCGUGUCGGCCAUGAGGACGUUGCAACGGCAGGUGACCGGCGGCCCCAGGCUUCUCCGGAGGCACUGACGGUCGACGGUUGAUUAGCCGGCUCGUCCGUGGCGCGACACCCGACCGAGGUAAAGAGAGAGACAGAGACGGGGAUAACGUCUCCACGGAGACGUCCCCGUCUGCAAUCCACUACUUUCAAACGAGAGAGCGAGCCGUCGGACAGGCGCGUUCCUGCGUGGUCGGACAGUCACCGCACUGGUCGAUCUGGUGGGAGCGCGUCGAUCGUACCGAGUCAGGAUCUCGCGGAGGAUGAAGGCUGGCGGCGAGUAGGUCGGUAACCCACCCGACCCGUCUUGAAACACGGACCAAGGAGUCUAACAUGUGCGCAAGUCGCGGGGUCUUGUUCAGGCCCAAAGGCGAAAUGAAAGUGAAGGCCGCCGCUUCCCCUUAUUCAGUUAGGGGCGGAGUGAGGCGGCCAGGUCGGGACUCGCACGUGACACGGGACGUGACGAAGCACCGACGACCCGCCCUGUUCUAUCUUCUCGAUAGGAACUCAAACGGAGUUUGAGCGCACACGUUGGGACCCGAAAGAUGGUGAACUAUGCCUGGGCAGGACGAAGCCAGAGGAAACUCUGGUGGAGGUCCGCAGCGGU